rnacentral:rRNA from 1 species
AGAGUUUGAUCAUGGCUCAGGAUGAACGCUAGCGGCAGGCUUAAUACAUGCAAGUCGAGGGGCAGCGCAGUGUAGCAAUACAUGGGCGGCGACCGGCAAACGGGUGCGGAACACGUACAGAACCUUCCUUCGAGCGGGGAAUAGCCCAGAGAAAUUUGGAUUAAUACCCCAUAGUAUUACGGAGUGGCAUCACUUUGUAAUUAAAGAUUUAUCACUUGAAGAUGGCUGUGCGGCUGAUUAGGUAGUUGGCGGGGUAACGGCCCACCAAGCCUACGAUCAGUAACUGGUGUGAGAGCACGACCAGUCACACGGGCACUGAGACACGGGCCCGACUCCUACGGGAGGCAGCAGUAAGGAAUAUUGGUCAAUGGACGAAAGUCUGAACCAGCCAUGCCGCGUGGAGGAUGAAGGUCCUCUGGAUUGUAAACUUCUUUUAUAUGGGACGAAAAAAGGCUUUUCUAAGUCGUCUGACGGUACCAUAUGAAUAAGCACCGGCUAACUCCGUGCCAGCAGCCGCGGUAAUACGGAGGGUGCAAGCGUUAUCCGGAUUCACUGGGUUUAAAGGGUGCGUAGGUGGGUUGGUAAGUCAGUGGUGAAAUCUCCGAGCUUAACUUGGAAACUGCCAUUGAUACUAUUAGUCUUGAAUAUUGUGGAGGUCAGCGGAAUAUGUCAUGUAGCGGUGAAAUGCUUAGAGAUGACAUAGAACACCAAUUGCGAAGGCAGCUGGCUACACAUAUAUUGACACUGAGGCACGAAAGCGUGGGGAUCAAACAGGAUUAGAUACCCUAGUAGUCC